UACGGAGGGUGCAAGCGUUAAUCGGAAUUACUGGGCGUAAAGGGUGCGUAGGCGGUUGUUUAAGUCUGUUGUGAAAUCCCCGGGCUCAACCUGGGAAUGGCAAUGGAUACUGGACAGCUAGAGUGUGUCAGAGGAUAGCGGAAUUCCCGGUGUAGUGGUGAAAUGCGUAGAUAUCGGGAGGAACACCAGUGGCGAAGGCGGCUAUCUGGGCUGCAACUGACGCUGAGGCGCGAAGGCUAGGGUAGCAAACAGG
rnacentral:rRNA from 1 species